rnacentral:pre_miRNA from 12 species
UGGCAGGCCCCUUAGCCUUCUCUUCCCAGUUCUUCCUGGAGUCGGGAAAAACUAGGAGGGGGGUGGAGGAGAAAAAAAGAA